CCUACGGGAGGCAGCAGUGAGGAAUAUUGGUCAAUGGACGAGAGUCUGAACCAGCCAAGUAGCGUGAAGGAUGACUGCCCUAUGGGUUGUAAACUUCUUUUAUAUGGGAAUAAAAUGUUCCACGUGUGGGAUUUUGUAUGUACCAUAUGAAUAAGGAUCGGCUAACUCCGUGCCAGCAGCCGCGGUAAUACGGAGGAUCCGAGCGUUAUCCGGAUUUAUUGGGUUUAAAGGGAGCGUAGGUGGAUUGUUAAGUCAGCUGUGAAAGUUUGCGGCUCAACCGUAAAAUUGCAGUUGAAACUGGCAGUCUUGAGUACAGUAGAGGUGGGCGGAAUUCGUGGUGUAGCGGUGAAAUGCUUAGAUAUCACGAAGAACUCCGAUUGCGAAGGCAGUUCACUGGACUGCAACUGACACUGAGGCUCGAAAGUGUGGGUAUCAAACAGGAUUAGAUACCCCAGUAGUC
rnacentral:rRNA from 1 species